CGAACGCUGGCGGCGUGCUUAACACAUGCAAGUCGAACGGAAAGGCCCCUUUGGGGGUACUCGAGUGGCGAACGGGUGAGUAACACGUGAGUAACCUGCCCUUGACUUCGGGAUAACUUCAGGAAACUGGGGCUAAUACCGGAUAGGAAUCCUUGCUGCAUGGUGGGGGUUGGAAAGCUUCGGCGGUUUUGGAUGGACUCGCGGCUUAUCAGCUUGUUGGUGGGGUAGUGGCUUACCAAGGCUUUGACGGGUAGCCGGCCUGAGAGGGCGACCGGCCACAUUGGGACUGAGAUACGGCCCAGACGCCUACGGGAGGCAGCAGUGGGGAAUAUUGCACAAUGGGCGGAAGCCGGAUGCAGCAACGCCGCGUGCGGGAGGACGGCCUUCGGGUUGGAAACCGCUUUCAGCAGGGGCGAAGCUUGUGGUGACGGUACCUGCAGAAGAAGCACCGGCUAACUACGUG
rnacentral:rRNA from 1 species